CUUCGUUAUGUCCUACUCCUACUAUCAUUCAUCCCUUUCCCCAUUCUCAUUCUUCUCCCAUUCCUUUCUCUCUGUUCCUUACCUAAUCUAAGGAUUCGUCCACAAUUCGUUGCUAGAUCCUGCCAAGAAAAGAGGACGGGGGGAAGUGGGAUUUGGGGCAGAGUGCGGUGGCUGCAGCCUGCAAGCUCCCGGCGGCGGCACGUCGUCUAGCUCGACCACACGUGCCUGCUGCUCGCUGCCGUCGUCGAUUUGAUGGACAUGGAUUUGGGUCCACUUGAACCUGAGCGGUGGCACUCCUCCAGUGUAGAAAUUUUCUGUUGGAGAGAAGGAUUUUGCGCCCCAAAGCAGCAAGGCUGCGAGGCAAAGCGGUUUCGUUUCCCUGAGUGGCGUUGCUCUCCUAUUUGUGGCACUGGCUGAGAGCUGCGUUGUCGGGUUCGACGGCCAUGUUCUUCAUAGUGUUCUAGGAUAUAAUUUAUAGUUAUGUGACUUGCCAUUAAGGAUCCAUUAAGGACAUUUCAAAUCUGAAGCAUCCAUUAAGGAUCCAACGGCUCUAACUUCAUUUUUCUAUUCUUCUAUCCUAUGGCCAGUUUCUAUUGUAGUCUUCCCCACCAUAUAUUAGCAAUUUAUAUUAACAGUAGCUCUAUUUAAGACAAAGGAAGAAUGCUUGAUGUAUUAACUGAAUUUGGCCCAUAUAUGUUAAUUGAUAUGCAAUAGAUUUUAGAUUUUUCACAUGUGUUGUUUUUCGACAAAUUCACAUGUGUUGUAGGAGAUGCCUCUAAUACUAAAGCUUUUCUCAUUGUUCUCUUCAAUCGAAAAGGCUGUAGAAUAGAAGGGUUAUUUCCAAGAACAUUAAACUCACAAAAGUGCAUGUAUGAAUGUAUUUCGAAUAAUUACAAUUUGACAUGCUUCUCAUAGUGCUAACUUUUGACCCUUAUCUAAUAACUGUCCCCCUUAUACUGAUCGAUGUCAAGCAUUAUUUCUCUAUCUCAGUAAACAUAAAUGGUUUGCUUGGUGCUAAUCAGAUCUUGCCAUCCAAUAAGCUUAGCAAUUUUUACAUACCACUGUUAUUAGUGCAGAGUAAAUAUAAUAUGGAAGUUCUCAAUCAAAUUAGCAGAAUAUGCUUACCAGGUGUAGAUAUGUACCACAAUUUUCGCAGUAACACCUUCCACUUCCCUUUGUACGUAGUUAGUUUGUGUCAACCGGAAUUUGAUCAUUUGAAUAUUUUCGUGUAAUAGAUUAUUAUACCUAUUGUUGUGAAAAACAAAAUCCUAAAAUAAUCACCCAAAAAAUUAAAGUUAGCAUCCCGAAGAAGUUGACAGACAAAUAAUUCAGAUAUGAUUCCAUUAUAACUGAUAUGACUCAAUUAUCUGAAAAGCACUGCAGGUCUGAGAGUGUCGUUUUCCUCAAGAAGUGGUGAUAUCAUAUCUUAGAAGAAGUUUGAUCCAUCACCUGAUGUGUCUGGUUUUUGUGCCUCAUUCCAAUUGUCUGGAGUGCGAGGCAGAGUACUACCAAUAUUUAGAGUUUAACAAAUGUCAGUAAGGCAAGUUCACACUUUGAUCAUACUUUUCUAUACCCAGCUUUACUAUGCAUUAGUUUCACUCUUACAAAUUUGCAUGAGUAAGAUUGGGAAUUGUGGGAUUGCUAUGUAGUUCAUGAGGUAGGAACCCAUGAUCCUUGAAACACCCCGGGAAUAUUCGUUAUGUCAUAUAUUGCUUAGCCAUGCUUGUAGACGGGGAUUGGUAUGUGUGAUUCAUGCAAGUUGUGAGAGAGAAAUAAUGAUUUAAGGGUAACUAUAAGGUGGCAACAUUAACACAACUCUGGGUGGAAUGGUUGGGCACUUAGAGAAUCCAGUGCUUGCCCUAGGGGAUUCCCGAGAACCUGUGUGAUCACCCUACGAAAUGUCACCCAAGUUCAAAGGGAUCAUACCAUAUCUCAUGCCUAGAAACUUCCGUGUGCAGCCACAAGCCAUUAUGGGUUCUGGCAUAGUUGAGUAAGUUUGUGUGAGCCUUUCCGGGUAGGCUAACAAAUGUAGGGGAAAGUAGGUGUACCGUCCUAUCCAGGGUUAAGGGGGACACAUUCAAAAAGACUAUGUCUCGAUCUUCUAAUCAUGGAGGUGGUCGAGUCUUGUGGGGGAAAGUGCGCAAACCUCUGCAGAGUGUAUAAACUAAUCAUGAUUAGCCGUGUCCCCGGUUAUGGACAAAUUUGAGUAUCUAGAAGUGAAUUAUUAGUUGAUCUCAUCACUUUAUUUAAUUAAUGAAUUGGGUUAUUAAUAACUUGGGAAUUUGGGGAAUUGAGUUGGAGGAACCUUCUCAAUAAUGACAUAAACUUGGUAGUAAAAUAAAAUUUUAUUCCUUUGUUGUAGGGAAAAUUUAGCUUUAUGCAAAAUUAAACUUAGUGCCUCCACCAGCCAAUAUAUGCAUAUAGAGAUAGCCUUUUUCAUCAUUAUUCUAUAGUGUGACAUUGCUAGCAUAUUCCAUGUGCUGACCUACACGUUUGCAACGUCUCGUGUUGCAGAGUUUUCCAACGAGGAUUAAGGUGCGAUAGGACAUUGUUCUGCACUCAGUUUUGCCGUGGAGUUAGAUGGACUCAUUUAUCUUCGAAGCUUCCACAACUAUUUUAUUUAGAUGGCCUUCUAGCAUAUUUUUGUAAUAAAUACUCUUUUGAGGACCUCGAUGUAAUAAAGUGUGAUUGGACAAUGUUAUAAUUCCUCGAGUACUGUGUGUGUCAGCAUACCGAUCCAGGGAUGACACUUAA